rnacentral:rRNA from 1 species
AUGGCAGUCGCGUCCGCCUCAUCUUCUUCGACCCCGUCGACCGCGUCGACUGCUGCCGCCGCGAUGGCCGCGGCUGCUCUUGCCUCCCGCAAGGCCGACCCCGCAGCUGGUGGCCGCUUGUCCCGCGCCGGCAUGGGACUCCCGCUGAGGCCGGUUGUGGCAGCAUCUCCGGCGGCGCAUCCUCCCCUGCCCGGCGUCGCCGCAGUGUCCACCCUGGGCAUAGAGUGUGCUGCUCCGGAUCCCCGUGCCCCUGGCCUGAUGGAUGGCGGGCUUGGGUCCCAGCCGCCGCUGCGGCUUGUGUGUCUCCCGUCCACGGGCUCUGGUGACGCCACUUCUGCCUGCGCCACGCAGUCAACCCCGACUGCUACUGUGGGUGCGUGUGAGCCGUCCCGGGCUAUUGCCGGUGCUGCUACGUCGUCCUUGGGCCCUGCGGAAGCCCCGUCGUCACCACCGGCUGCUGCUGCUGAAGCGCCAUCUACAACUGCUGCUGGCUGA